UUCCCCGGCUCCUGCCGCAGCGCUCGGCCGACUCACCCAGCCGCGCCGUCCCGCCGCGAUCUGGGCUCCACUUUCACUUUCGGUUGAGCGGCGGCGAGGCGGUCGGCAGAGGGGCUAGCAGGAGCAGGCUCGGGCCGGACCCCCAGGUAGUGUGACCAAGAAGAUGGUAUUUCUGUCCUUCAGAUGGCCACUUGCAGCCUUGUCUUGUCUACUUCCCUCCCUGGUGACUCUCUUAACUGUGUCAACUCCUUCAUGGUGUCAGAACAGUGAAGCUGCAUCUCCAAAAGCCCCUGAUGGGACACCAUUUCCGUGGAAUAAAAUGCGACUUCCUGAGCAUGUCAUCCCUGUUCAUUAUGACCUCAUGAUUCAUGCAAAUCUCACCACACUGACCUUCUGGGGAACUGUGGAAGUAGAAAUAGCAGUUAGCCAGCCCACCACUGCCAUCAUCCUGCAUGGUCACCACCUGCAGGUCUCCAAGGCCAGCCUCAGGAAAGGGGCUGGAGAACAGCCAUCUGCAGAGCCACUGAGGGUCCUGGAGCAUCCUCCCCUUGAGCAGAUCGCACUUCUGGCCCCAGAGCCCCUCCUCGCUGGGCUUCCAUACACAGUUGUCAUCCAAUAUGCUGGCAAUCUCUCUGAGAACUUCCACGGAUUUUAUAAAAGUACCUACAGAACCAAGGAAGGGGACAUGAGGAUACUUGCAUCAACACAGUUUGAACCCACUGCAGCUAGAAUGGCCUUCCCCUGCUUUGAUGAACCUGCCCUCAAAGCACGUUUCUCCAUCAAGAUUAGAAGGGAGCCUCAGCACCUCGCUAUCUCCAACAUGCCCUUGGUAAAAUCUGUGACUAUUUCUGGAGGACUCAUAGAAGACCAUUUUGAUGUCACUGUGAAGAUGAGCACCUAUUUAGUAGCCUUCAUUAUUUCAGAUUUUGAGUCUGUCAGCAAGAUGACCAAGAGCGGAGUCAAGGUUUCCAUAUAUGCUGUGCCAGACAAGAUACAUCAGGCAGAUUACGCGCUGGGUGCUGCAGUGACUCUUCUAGAAUUUUAUGAGGAUUAUUUCAGUAUACCAUAUCCCCUACCCAAACAAGAUCUUGCUGCUAUUCCUGACUUUCAGUCUGGUGCAAUGGAAAACUGGGGACUGACAACAUAUAGAGAAUCUUCUCUGUUGUUUGAUGCAGAGAAGUCUUCUGCAUCAAGUAAGCUUGCCAUCACAAUGACUGUGGCUCAUGAACUCGCCCACCAGUGGUUUGGGAACCUGGUCACUAUGGAGUGGUGGAAUGAUCUUUGGCUAAAUGAGGGAUUCGCCAAGUUUAUGGAGUUUGUGUCUGUCAGUGUGACCCAUCCUGAGCUGAAAGUUGAAGAUUAUUUUUUUGGCAAGUGUUUUAAUGUGAUGGAAGUAGAUGCUUUAAACUCCUCACACCCUGUGUCCACACCUGUUGAAAAUCCUGCUCAGAUCCAGGAGAUGUUUGAUGAUGUUUCUUAUGAAAAGGGAGCUUGUAUUCUGAAUAUGCUAAGGGAUUACCUUAGUGCCGAUGUAUUUAAAAGUGGUAUCAUAUACUAUCUUCAGAAGUAUAGCUAUAAAAACACCAAAAACGAGGACCUGUGGAAUUCUAUGGCAAGUAUUUGCCCUACCAAUGACCCACAGAGCACGGAUGGCUUUUGCCCUGGAGAUCAACAUUCUUCCUCAUCCUCACACUGGCGAUGGGAAGGCCUCGAUGUGCAGGCCAUGAUGGACACCUGGACACUGCAGAAGGGCUUUCCUCUGAUAACCGUCACGGUGAGAGGGAGGAACGUGCACCUGAAGCAGCAGCAUUAUAUGAAGGCCUCUGACGACGCCCCAGAGACUGGGUACCUGUGGCAUGUUCCACUGACAUUCAUUACCAGCAAAUCAGACACGGUCCAUAGAUUUUUGCUGAAAGCAAAGACAGAUGUGCUCAUUCUCCCAGAGGAGGUGGAAUGGAUCAAAUUCAACGUGGGAAUGAAUGGCUAUUACAUUGUGCAUUAUGAGGGUGAAGGCUGGGAUUCUCUGACUGGCCUUUUAAAAGGAACACACAGAGCCAUCAGCAGCCAGGAUCGGGCGAGUCUCAUUCACAACGCGUUCCAGCUGGCCAGCAUUGGAAAGGUAUCGAUUGAAAAAGCCUUGGACUUAGCCCUAUACUUGAAACAUGAAACUGAAAUUCUGCCCGUGUUCCAAGGUUUGAAUGAGCUGAUACCUAUAUAUAAGUUAAUGGAGAAAAGAGACAUGAAUGAAGUGGAAACUCAAUUCAAGGCCUUCCUCAUCAGGCUGCUGAGGGAUCUCAUUGACAGGCAGGCGUGGGCUGACGAAGGCUCUGUGACAGAGCGGCUGCUGCGGAGCCGGCUUCUGCUGCUGGCCUGCGUGCGUGGGUACCAGCCCUGUGUGCAGAGGGCGGAAGGCUAUUUCAGAAGGUGGAAGGAAUCUGGUGGAAAUUUGAGCCUACCAAAUGAUGUGACCUUGGCGGUGUUUGCUGUGGGGGCCCAGAACACUGAAGGCUGGGAUUUUCUUUAUAAUAAAUAUCAGUCUUCUUUAUCCAGUGCUGAGAAAGAGCAAGUUGAAUUUGCCCUCUGUAUGAGCCAGAAUAAGGACAAGCUUCAGUGGCUACUAGACCAAAGUUUUAAGGGAGACAUAAUAAAAACUCAGGAGUUUCCAGGUAUUCUUACACUUAUCGGCAGAAACCCAGUAGGAUAUCCAUUGGCCUGGCAGUUUCUGAGGGAAAAUUGGAACAAACUUGUACAAAAGUUUGAACUUGGUUCACCUUCCAUAGCCCACAUGGUGAUGGGCACAACAAAUCAAUUCUCCACAAGAACAUGGCUUGAAGAGGUAAAAGGAUUCUUCAGCUCUUUGAAAAAAAAUGGUUCUCAGCUUAGGUGUGUCCAACAAACAAUUGAAACCAUUGAAGAAAAUAUACGCUGGAUGGAUAAGAAUUUUGAUAAAAUCAGAGUAUGGCUGCAAAAUGAAAAGCUGGAACUGUUGUAACAAGUGUUCUGUUCCCUGCCUGGUUCCUCUUAUCUAUAAUCACCAAAAUUUUGCUGAAUGCUUUGGGAAGUGGGUGCUUGUAUGUUUUCAUGGCUUCAUGUAAGACCUCCCAUAUCUGAAGAUUAAGAUCAGGACCCAGCUCUCAAAUUCCUUCAUCUAUUGGUUUCCUUUAGUCACCAUAAUGUAGAAUCAAACACAGGACUUUACAAAAUUAAGACAAAUGCGUUGGUUGUAUAGUGGUGAGCUUAGCUGCCUUCCAAAAUUAAGACAAAUAAAGUGGCCAAUGUUUUCCUUUGCCCUUGGUUCCAAAAAUCCCUGUAAUUUAUUUCCCCCAGACACUGAACUUCUCCCCACCCCACAUGUUGGUAUCUUGGGUAAUAAUAUCUUUCUUAAGGACAUUUUGCUAAAUUGUAACACGAUAAUUUUGCUUUGCCAUAAUAAUGGAUUCCAAAGACUCAACUAGCUUUGGAUAGUCCUUUUCUUUAAGUGUUUGGCCUAAUAUUUUAAAGAGCUCUUAAUUAUAAGAUUAAUGUUUUUAUUUAUUUAUUUGAGACAGAGUCUCAAACUGUUGCCUUCGGUACAGUGCCAUGGUGUCACAGCUCACAGCAACGUCUAACUCUAGGGCUUAAGCGAUUCUCUUGCCUCAGCCUCCCAAGUACCUGGGACUACAGGCACCCGCCACACACCCGGCUAUUUUUUGAUUGUAGUUGUCAUUGUUGUUUGGCAGGCUUGGGCUGGAUUUGAACCCGCCAGGUCCGGUGUAUGUGGCUGGUGCCCUAGCUCCUGAGCUACAGGCACCAAGCCAGAUUAAGGUUUUUUAAAGUUUCAAGAACACAGCCACCCCAUUUAGUGCUUUUCAGAGAAUGACUUACAGCUCUGCAGACUGGGCAGUGGGCAUUUCAUGCCCAUGGCAUAAGGGAAGCAGGAAUGUACAAGAGGUGGGCUCCAUGUAACACUGGGGCUGAAGAAGGUG